CGGGACUUGGAAUGGGGGAACCCUGAGCAGCAACGCCGCGUGAGUGAUGACGGCCUUCGGGUUGUAAAGCUCUGUCUUCAGGGACGAUAAUGACGGUACCUGAGGAGGAAGCCACGGCUAACUACGUGCCAGCAGCCGCGGUAAUACGUAGGUGGCGAGCGUUGUCCGGAUUUACUGGGCGUAAAGGGAGCGUAGGCGGACUUUUAAGUGAGAUGUGAAAUACCCGGGCUCAACUUGGGUGCUGCAUUUCAAACUGGAAGUCUAGAGUGCAGGAGAGGAGAAUGGAAUUCCUAGUGUAGCGGUGAAAUGCGUAGAGAUUAGGAAGAACACCAGUGGCGAAGGCGAUUCUCUGGACUGUAACUGACGCUGAGGCUCGAAAGCGUGGGGAGCAAACAGGAUUAGAUACCCUG
rnacentral:rRNA from 1 species